AAAGGGUGCAAGCCCCAGGGGUGGUCCUCUUCUCCUCAGCAGCCUUCCCUCCAGUCCUGCUCAGUCAGUCUCUCCUAACUUCCCUUCCCCAUCAACACUGGUUCCUAUUAUUUUCCUACUCCUCCAUCUUUGCCUUCCCUCAGGUUACCCUUCCUCAGAACUCAUUUUCCAGUUUUCCCUCUUUUCCAAGUCCCAGGGGCAAUUCCAUAUCUUACACUGUACACAAGAUGGGGUGUCAAUAAAGACUUGUAAACAAACCAA